CUUCUACACUGGCAGAAAAUGUGUAGCGUGAAAACGGGUCGGUAUCCAGGGACUUAGGGCCGACUGAACUGCGAUCAGCGGCUGUCCAGCAUAGUAGUAUGUCUGCCCAGUAGGAGGUCGGGUGCCCCUGAGCAGAGAGCCGCCUCUGGAAAGGAACAGUGACGUCCCUAAGCAGACACCCCGGGAAGCGUGGUCGGGAAAGGGCUCGCGGGAAGCGGCUUUUGAGAACAGAAAAAGGCUGAGACGAGCUGGCAGAGUGGGGCGGCCACGCCCCAGGGGUGCAGCUCGCGCGAGGCCUGGAGCCCAUGGAAGGAGUUGGGGAGCAGGGUCCGGAGGUGUGACACGAGUGUCCAGACCAUGCGGUGGAACAGACUUUUCAGCUAUGUUGUUGGGAUACUUGGAUAUCUACAUGCAAAAAACAAGUAAGAAGGCAAUCUCUCCUCCCCUGCUCUGCACUCUACACAGUGCUUUGUGUUAUGGAAGCUUGGAUCUGCCGAGCACCUAUAAUGUGUCUCCAUGUGCAUACUAUACGAGAUGAAAAAAUAUUUAAAUAUUGACCCCAAAAAUAUAUAUCCUUGCAAAUAAACAGUGAAAAAUCAUUAA